rnacentral:rRNA from 1 species
GCAUCUUCUUGGGUUAAAAACUCCGGUGGUUAAAGAUGGGCAUGCGUUGUAUUAGCUAGUUGGUGAGGUAACGGCUCACCAAGGCAACGAUACAUAGGGGGACUGAGAGGUUAACCCCCCACAUUGGUACUGAGACACGGACCAAACUCCUACGGGAGGCAGCAGUGAGGAAUAUUGGUCAAUGGACGCAAGUCUGAACCAGCCAUGCCGCGUGCAGGAAGACGGCUCUAUGAGUUGUAAACUGCUUUUGUACUAGGGUAAACGCUUCUACGUGUAGGAGCCUGAAAGUAUAGUACGAAUAAGGAUCGGCUAACUCCGUGCCAGCAGCCGCGGUAAUACGGAGGAUCCAAGCGUUAUCCGGAUUUAUUGGGUUUAAAGGGUGCGUAGGCGGUUUGAUAAGUUAGAGGUGAAAUACCGGGGCUCAACUCCGGAACUGCCUCUAAUACUGUUGAACUAGAGAGUAGUUGCGGUAGGCGGAAUGUAUGGUGUAGCGGUGAAAUGCUUAGAGAUCAUACAGAACACCGAUUGCGAAGGCAGCUUACCAAACUAUAUCUGACGUUGAGGCACGAAAGCGUGGGGAGCAAACAGGAUUAGAUACCCUGGUAGUCCACGCAGUAAACGAUGAUAACUCGUUGUCGGCGAUACAC